UUCUUAAGCUUUAAUAGCCAAACUGAAACAACAAAAAGUACAAGACAUUUUCAUAAUAUAGCAUUCAAAAAUUAAAUUAUGACAUCCAUUUUCUGCUGUCUAGGACCUCUAUACAAACAUUACGAGUCAAAACAUUUUUAUUGAAUUACAAGCAUCCAAGCCCAUGCUCCUCAAAGCAUUUGACGUAAGGAGCAUUGUGGCAGUAGUUUCAACUGUAGACAUAAAGUCCAUGUGCUUCCCUUUCAGCAAGAGGAAAAUAAAAAAAAUAAAGGGAAUAGAAAAAAAAUUUAUGUAUUAGUUGCCAACCUAAUACAUGCUAAGAAAUAUAUAUAGGCCAUCCUAAGAAAUAUUUAAGAUUUUUUAGCCUUUUAGGGUAUGUUUCCUUUUUACAUAUAAGAAGUUCAAGAAUGCCUCCAAUGCUUCCAAUAGAUGGAUUCUCUGCAUUACAUAAAAAAUGUAUCAGUAUUUACUUGAAACUAACAUGAACAUGUAUACAUCUACCUUCUUAAGCUUUGAUAGCCAAACAGAAACAACAAAAAGUACUGGACAUUUUCGUAAUAUAGCAUUCAAAAAUUAAAUUAUGACAUCCAUUUUCUGCUGUUUAGGACCUCCAUACAAGCAUUACGAGUCAAAACAUUUUUAUUGAAUUACAAGUAUCCAAGCCCAUGCUCCUCAAAGCAUUUGACGUAAGGAGCAUUGUGGCAGCUACACUGAAAGAAUGCCCCCCCACAGUGUAUGCUGCCUGUAAGACAAUCACUAAUUAAAGAUUUAAUAUAUGUACAUAUUUAGUAAUUGUGUGUACCAAUUCUUGUGUGAUGUUUUUUAGAAAAACAAAAAAACACCAUGGUUAAUAUCAGUGCAAAAUCUAGAGUAUUCUCAUACAAAUGAAAAAUAUUUUCAUUGAUCUCUUAAAAAGAUUGACUCAAGAAUUUGAAACAUGUUCCUCACAAGUCUUCACCAACUUGAUAGGAAGAGAUGGCAAAUUCGUAUUAACACCAACAGAUAAUGACCCUAAAUCUACGGCUUCAUAACCUAAUGCUCUAAAUACCGCCCUGUCAUAUCUCCAACCCCACACUUUUGGGAGUUGUAAAUAUGACCAGCCACCAAGGCCUCUUAUGGAACCAAAUGAGUUGAAUACUUGCUUAAUAGUGACAAUUUGGUUAGUGGAAGCGUAACUAAUUAACUUGUAAGCGAUCAAUAUUGUGUAACCAUAAUCAGAUCACAGCUUGAAUCAAAAUUCACAUCUCAACCCAAAACCACACAAGUAUAUUAUAAACUUAUUACAUUGCUUCUCCUCAUGUCCCAACUAGGUAUAAACAAAGUAAAUAUUUUACACUUAUCGCCUAUACUGAACUCGUAUAAAUAGGACAUAGAAUAAACACAAAUUAUAUACUACAAGUUCACAUACCUAGGAAUCUACCCAGAAUUCUAAGGUCAUCAUUUCACCUAAGGUUUGACCAUACCACAAGUACAUCUAAAUUAUAACAGACGUAACCACUCCACCCAAAAUGAACCUAAACCUAGGGUUUCAUAACAUAUUUCUCUCAAACCAUUGUAAGGUUUGUAAUAUGUCAACACAUAUAAAUCAUCAAUUAUGCCUAAUCACCACACUUAGAUUUAAUUAAUCCCAACUCAGGCUCAAUUUAACUUAUUUUAACACAUCCUUAUACUUUGUUUGUCUAUCCUCAACAAUAGACAAACAAAAUGUGACCCUGUUUUCCUUGAGUAAUCUUUCCUAAAUACAAAUUGGUUAACCAUAAUUAGGGUUUAGACCAAUAACCAAGGGUUAAGACAAGAUCAGAUCACUUUGUAUCAAAGCCCAGAACAUAACCAAUCACAACAUAGGUUAGGUUAAUUAACCAUGCUAUAAUCACACUUAACUGAAAACAAGUUUUAAGUUAAUUAAAGACAUUAAUUAGAAAUUUUUAUCAAAGCUCAUUAAGAAAAUUAUUUAGCUUCAAAAAUCUACAUAUUAAGGUUUCAAGGAUUUCCUUGCUUACCAAUAAAAGUAACCUUUUACACUACUAAUCUCAGAAACACAAUUAAAGCAAGAAUGACACAUAAUUAAUCAUUUUUUUAUAUAAGAGAUUAUAAGAUAUAACAUAUAAUAAAAGAUAGUAGAGCUGGGAUGUUGCAAUAACCCUAAAAUCACAAAAUCUUCAAUUGAGCUUAAUAGAGGCCAGUGAGCUUAAUAGAAAUAUAUAAGAUUUUUUAGCCUUUUAGGGUAUGUUUCCUUUUUACAUAUAAGAAGUUCAAAAAUUUCUUUAGAACCAAUCUUAGAUUAUUUUCAAAACGUGUUGAAGUAAAAAAAAAAGUACUUUAGAGCACAAUGUGCAUGCACAAACACACUGCUGCUGUUAUGUUUUAGUGCUGGAAUGGAACUUUUUGUGACUGAAUUUAUUGUUGGAACAGAGGAGAAACAGAGCUAGUUUUUAUUUUGUACACUGCUAUAUUUGGCUGGACUUGAUUGAGCUUGCCCCCACCUUUCAUUGAUGUAUUGUUGCUGUAAUUAUGGAUCAAAUGGCAUUCACCAGGCUUCUCCACAAACACAUCAGAGAUCCUCUUUUGGAAGUCAUGAAAUGCAACCUUUUAAUCGGGGCUGUCUUUUGGGUUUCCAAGUCUGAGAAGUUGAAGGUAUUUUAAAAUGGUUUUUGGUUCAAGCUUCCUACCCAUGACCGACCGUGAACUUGUUAAAACAAUAGAUUUACACCCACAACCGAACCACAGCACAUGCAAAACUGUCCGUAGCUCGUCGGGUGGGUUCGGAUUGGACGGUUUGCCGGGUCUCCAGGUUAAAGAAGAACAAGUGCAACUUCAAAUGCAAUGGUAAAACCUUAGGUAAUUGAUAUAUUUGCAUCA